GGGCCGGUAGCUCAGCUUGGUUAGAGCGUUCGGCUGAUAACCGAAAGGUCACCGGUUCAAAUCCGGUCCGGCCCA
rnacentral:tRNA from 1 species